CUACUCCUACGGGGAGGCAGCAGUAGGGAAUCUUCCGCAAUGGGCGAAAGCCUGACGGAGCAAUGCCGCGUGAGUGAUGAAGGUUUUCGGAUCGUAAAGCUCUGUUGCCAGGGAAGAACGCUUGGGAGAGUAACUGCUCUCAAGGUGACGGUACCUGAGAAGAAAGCCCCGGCUAACUACGUGCCAGCAGCCGCGGUAAUACGUAGGGGGCAAGCGUUGUCCGGAAUUAUUGGGCGUAAAGCGCGCGCAGGCGGUCAUUUAAGUCUGGUGUUUAAUCCCGGGGCUCAACCCCGGAUCGCACUGGAAACUGGGUGACUUGAGUGCAGAAGAGGAGAGUGGAAUUCCACGUGUAGCGGUGAAAUGCGUAGAUAUGUGGAGGAACACCAGUGGCGAAGGCGACUCUCUGGGCUGUAACUGACGCUGAGCGCGAGAUUCUUUAAAAUUU
rnacentral:rRNA from 1 species